GAUGAACGCUGGCGGCGUGCCUAAUACAUGCAAGUCGAGCGAACAGACGAGGAGCUUGCUCCUCUGACGUUAGCGGCGGACGGGUGAGUAACACGUGGAUAACCUACCUAUAAGACUGGGAUAACUUCGGGAAACCGGAGCUAAUACCGGAUAAUAUAUUGAACCGCAUGGUUCAAUAGUGAAAGACGGUUUUGCUGUCCCUUAUAGAUGGAUCCGCGCCGCAUUAGCUAGUUGGUAAGGUAACGGCUUACCAAGGCAACGAUGCGUAGCCGACCUGAGAGGGUGAUCGGCCACACUGGAACUGAGACACGGUCCAGACUCCUACGGGAGGCAGCAGUAGGGAAUCUUCCGCAAUGGGCGAAAGCCUGACGGAGCAACGCCGCGUGAGUGAUGAAGGUCUUCGGAUCGUAAAACGCUGUUAUUAGGGAAGAACAAAUGUGUAAGUAACUAUGCACGUCUUGACGGUACCGAAUCAGAAAGCCACGGCUAACUACGUG
rnacentral:rRNA from 1 species